rnacentral:rRNA from 1 species
UACGUAGGAGGCAAGCGUUGUCCGGAAUCACUGGGCGUAAAGCGCGUGUAGGUGGUGGGACAAGUCUGCUGUGAAAGCGCCUGGCUUAACCGGGCGAGGUCGGCGGAAACUGCCUCACUUGAGGACGGUAGAGGGGGGUGGAAUUCCCGGUGUAGUGGUGAAAUGCGUAGAGAUCGGGAGGAACACCUGUGGCGAAGGCGGCCCCCUGGGCCGCUCCUGACACUGAGACGCGAAGGCGUGGGGAGCGAACGGG